rnacentral:rRNA from 1 species
GCAGCAGCCGCGGUAAUACGAAGGGGGCUAGCGUUGUUCGGAUUUACCGGGCGUAAAGGGCGCGUAGGCGGACUGAUAAGUCAGGGGUGAAAUCCCAAGGCUCAACCUUGGAACUGCCUUUGAUACUGUUUGUCUUGAGUUCGAGAGAGGUAAGUGGAACUGCGAGUGUAGAGGUGAAAUUCGUAGAUAUUCGCAAGAACAUCAGUGGCGAAGGCGGCUUACUGGCUCGAAACUGACGCUGAGGCGCGAAAGCGUGGGGAGCAAACAGGAUUAGAGACCCCGGUAGUCCCUGUCUCUUAUAC